GGGUUUUUGAUUUGUCACUAGGGACUGGGGAGGUGCCAUCUUUGCUAUAAAGGAUCCUGUCCAGCCACAAGAAGUUACGGAAAAGAAUGUAUUCUUUCUGCGGGAGUUUAAUUCGGAGGCAAAGUUCGCGUAUUGUUCAUUUCAAAUUCGCAAGAGCUUCUUUAGCUAUUAGUAGCGGUAAUAUUCAUGGACUGAGCUCGUUGGCAUCUGAUUCUUCGGUUCUAGAUGAAAAUCCUGCUUCGAAGAAUCAUCUCUUCCGGUCAUUUCUCCAGCUCGC
rnacentral:misc_RNA from 1 species